rnacentral:rRNA from 1 species
UGCCAGACUCCUACGGGAGGCAGCAGUGGGGAAUAUUGCACAAUGGGGGAAACCCUGAUGCAGCAACGCCGCGUGAGUGAAGAAGUAUUUCGGUAUGUAAAGCUCUAUCAGCAGGGAAGAAGAAAGACGGUACCUGACUAAGAAGCCCCGGCUAACUACGUGCCAGCAGCCGCGGUAAUACGUAGGGGGCAAGCGUUAUCCGGAUUUACUGGGUGUAAAGGGAGCGUAGACGGCAUAGCAAGUCUGAAGUGAAAGCCCGUGGCUCAACCGCGGGACUGCUCUUGGAACUGCGUGGCUAGAGUGCAGGAGGGGCAGGCGGAAUUCCUGGUGUAGCGGUGAAAUGCGUAGAUAUCAGGAGGAACACCGGUGGCGAAGGCGGCCUGCUGGACGAUGACUGACGCUGAGGCUCGAAAGCGUGGGGAGCAAACAGGAUUAGAUACCCUCGUAC